GGCUCGUUGGUCAAGUGGUUAAGACACGGCCCUUUCACGGCUGUAACACGGGUUCGACUCCCGUACGAGUCACCA
rnacentral:tRNA from 1 species